rnacentral:rRNA from 1 species
ACUAAUUGCUCGUGAGGCUUGACCCUAUAACUUUGAUGACGUGAUCAUCAAGGUGGUUAUGCCAAGUAAGGCGCAGUCAAAAUACAAAGCUGAUUACAGACUCUAUGAAUUCGUUGUGUUGCUCCAUGAGCAGCAUGACAACAAGUUAUGCCUGAUGACCAUAGCAAGUUGGUACCACUCCUUCCCAUCCCGAACAGGACAGUGAAACGACUUUGCGCCGAUGAUAGUGCGGGUUCCCGUGUGAAAGUAGGUCAUCGUCAGGC